rnacentral:tRNA from 1 species
GAACGUAUGGCUUAGUUGAUCAGAGCGCUCGAAUGGAUUUCAAUAGUCGCGGGUUUAAAUCCCACUACGUUCU